UGGAGAGUUUGAUCCUGGCUCAGGACGAACGCUGGCGGCGUGCCUAAUACAUGCAAGUCGAGCGAGGGUCUUCGGACCCUAGCGGCGGACGGGUGAGUAACACGUAGGCAACCUGCCUGUAAGACUGGGAUAACAUAGGGAAACUUAUGCUAAUACCGGAUAGGGUUUUGCUUCGCCUGAAGCGAAACGGAAAGAUGGCGCAAGCUAUCACUUACAGAUGGGCCUGCGGUGCAUUAGCUAGUUGGUGAGGUAACGGCUCACCAAGGCGACGAUGCGUAGCCGACCUGAGAGGGUGACCGGCCACACUGGGACUGAGACACGGCCC
rnacentral:rRNA from 1 species